rnacentral:snRNA from 1 species
GUGCUCACUUCCAUAGCACAUAUACUAAAUUAGAAGGAUACAGAGAAGAUGAGCAUGACCCCUCUGAAAGGAUGACAUGCAAAUUCAUGAAAUAUUCUAUCCUUUU